UGGGGAAUAUUGCACAAUGGGCGCAAGCCUGAUGCAGCAACGCCGCGUGAGGGGUGAAUGCCUUCGGGUUGUAAACCUCUUUUAGUAGGGAAGAAGCGCAAGUGACGGUACCUGCAGAAAAAGCACCGGCUAACUACGUGCCAGCAGCCGCGGUAAUACGUAGGGUGCAAGCGUUGUCCGGAAUUAUUGGGCGUAAAGAGCUCGUAGGCGGCUUGUCGCGUCUGCUGUGAAAUCCCGGGGCUCAACCCCGGGCCUGCAGUGGGUACGGGCAAGCUAGAGUGCGGUAGGGGAGAUUGGAAUUCCUGGUGUAGCGGUGGAAUGCGCAGAUAUCAGGAGGAACACCGAUGGCGAAGGCAGAUCUCUGGGCCGCUACUGACGCUGAGGAGCGAAAGCAUGGGGAGCGAACAGG
rnacentral:rRNA from 1 species